GGCAUAUUGAAGGCUAUCCCCUGAACCAUUUUGCGAAUAUAUUAAGACCUAUUUUUCCACCAACCUGUACUCACUGUUCAGAAGCUUCUGAAGAAUCAACAGAACAGUAUUGACCUCAUUUCAAUAGCUCUUUGAAAUAACUCUACAGUAUAGCGGGAAUAUCUUAUCGAAAUAAUUAUUAAAUAUUUCCAGAAAAAAAAAAAACCAAAAUGGGGCGAGUUAUUUUAUUAUUAUCAAUAAUUUUAUUCGUUGGCUGCUCCUGUGUUUCUGCUUGGGCACCUGAUAGUUGUGAUGGCCAUUGGUGUUCUUGGGCCUGUCCGUGUGGCUGUUCGACAUACACUUGUAAUGGAGUUUUUAAUGGUAACUGUGAACCCGUUGCCGGAUCUGGAAGAAAGUAAACUGGAAUUUCUCAAAGAGUAAAGAUUUACGAAUUCGUAGUCAGAAUUAUACUAAAAAUUUAAAAUUUAAGAUGUUUGUUUCAACAAAAUUGUGUCUUAUGAAUAUUGUAAUAUCGGUCCAAUUCAACAAUAAUGAAUAUAUAUAAUUAUAAUAAU